rnacentral:tRNA from 1 species
GGGCUGGGGCUCAGCGGUAGAGCGCUGGCCUGGCAUGCGUGAGGCACUGGGUUUGAUCCUCAGCACCACG